AUACCUUUCUCGGCCUUUUGGCUAAGAUCAAGUGUAGUAUCUGUUCUUAUCAGUUUAAUAUCUAAUAUGUGGGUCAUGUGUCCACUUUGAUGUUAAAUUUAUUUUUUAUGGGAAAGGGUCCAUUACAGUGGCUUGCUACUGGGGCAAGCUCGUGCUAAUGAAUUGUUUAAGCCCUAAACCAAU
rnacentral:snRNA from 2 species